rnacentral:rRNA from 1 species
ACGAACGCUGGCGGCGUGGAUAAGACAUGCAAGUCGAACGAGAGAAUUGCUAGCUUGCUAAUAAUUCUCUAGUGGCGCACGGGUGAGUAACACGUGAGUAACCUGCCCCCGAGAGCGGGAUAGCCCUGGGAAACUGGGAUUAAUACCGCAUAGUAUCGAAAGAUUAAAGCAGCAAUGCGCUUGGGGAUGGGCUCGCGGCCUAUUAGUUAGUUGGUGAGGUAACGGCUCACCAAGGCGAUGACGGGUAGCCGGUCUGAGAGGAUGUCCGGCCACACUGGAACUGAGACACGGUCCAGACACCUACGGGUGGCAGCAGUCGAGAAUCAUUCACAAUGGGGGAAACCCUGAUGGUGCGACGCCGCGUGGGGGAAUGAAGGUCUUCGGAUUGUAAACCCCUGUCAUGUGGGAGCAAAUUAAAAAGAUAGUACCACAAGAGGAAGAGACGGCUAACUCUGUGCCAGCAGCCGCGGUAAUACAGAGGUCUCAAGCGUUGUUCGGAAUCACUGGGCGUAAAGCGUGCGUAGGCUGUUUCGUAAGUCGUGUGUGAAAGGCGCGGGCUCAACCCGCGGACGGCACAUGAUACUGCGAGACUAGAGUAAUGGAGGGGGAACCGGAAUUCUCGGUGUAGCAGUGAAAUGCGUAGAUAUCGAGAGGAACACUCGUGGCGAAGGCGGGUUCCUGGACAUUAACUGACGCUGAGGCACGAAGGCCAGGGGAGCGAAAGGGAUUAGAUACCCCUGUAGUCCUGGCAGUAAACGGUGCACGCUUGGUGUGCGGGGAAUCGACCCCCUGCGUGCCGGAGCUAACGCGUUAAGCGUGCCGCCUGGGGAGUACGGUCGCAAGAUUAAAACUCAAAGGAAUUGACGGGGACCCGCACAAGCGGUGGAGUAUGUGGCUUAAUUCGAUGCAACGCGAAGAACCUUACCUGGGCUUGACAUGUAAUGAACAACAUGUGAAAGCAUGCGACUCUUCGGAGGCGUUACACAGGUGCUGCAUGGCCGUCGUCAGCUCGUGUCGUGAGAUGUUUGGUUAAGUCCAGCAACGAGCGCAACCCCUGUUGCCAGUUACCAGCACGUGAAGGUGGGGACUCUGGCGAGACUGCCCAGAUCAACUGGGAGGAAGGUGGGGACGACGUCAGGUCAGUAUGGCCCUUAUGCCCAGGGCUGCACACGUACUACAAUGCCCAGUACAGAGGGGGCCGAAGCCGCGAGGCGGAGGAAAUCCUAAAAACUGGGCCCAGUUCGGACUGUAGGCUGCAACCCGCCUACACGAAGCCGGAAUCGCUAGUAAUGGCGCAUCAGCUACGGCGCCGUGAAUACGUUCCCGGGUCUUGUACACACCGCCCGUCACAUCAUGGAAGCCGGUCGCACCCGAAGUAUCUGAAGCCAACCGCAAGGAGGCAGGGUCCUAAGGUGAGACUGGUAACUGGGAUG